rnacentral:misc_RNA from 1 species
UAACCACUCAAGCCUCGGCUUGGUCUUGGUGUUGGGGCCUGCUGUUACCGGCAGCCCUUAAAACUAGUGGCGGUGCCACCUGGCUCUAAGCGUAGUAAUACUUCUCGCUAUAGAGUCCCGGUGGAUGCUUGCCAUCAACCCCUAAUUUUCUAU